GACGAACGCUGGCGGCGUGCUUAACACAUGCCAGUCGAACGGAAAGGCCCUGCUUUUGUGGGGUGCUCGAGUGGCGAACGGGUGAGUAACACGUGAGUAACCUGCCCUUGACUUUGGGAUAACUUCAGGAAACUGGGGCUAAUACCGGAUAGGAGCUCCUGCUGCAUGGUGGGGGUUGGAAAGUUUCGGCGGUUGGGGAUGGACUCGCGGCUUAUCAGCUUGUUGGUGGGGUAGUGGCUUACCAAGGCUUUGACGGGUAGCCGGCCUGAGAGGGUGACCGGCCACAUUGGGACUGAGAUACGGCCCAGACUCCUAAGGGAGGCAGCAGUGGGGAAUAUUGCACAAUGGGCGGAAGCCUGAUGCAGCAACGCCGCGUGCGGGAUGACGGCCUUCGGGUUGUAAACCGCUUUCGCCUGUGACGAAGCGUGAGUGACGGUAAUGGGUAAAGAAGCACCGGCUAACUACGUG
rnacentral:rRNA from 1 species